GAGGGUGUAGCUCAGUGGUAGGGCGCAUGCUUAGCAUGCCUGAGGUCCUGGGUCCAAUCCCCAGUGCCUCCA
rnacentral:tRNA from 1 species